GUCAUGGACGUCAGUAACCUUGACAGAGCUGAUGACACAGAUGAGCUGCUCUGUACCGAGGUGAUGAGUGAUUUUGGGGUCUGUCCACCUCCUGUCCCUCGAGACCACUGCGAUUUGCUUAUGGACGCCAUUGAUGCUCAGCUCAGUCGCCUACAGACCGGCAGUCCCAGCCAAGCAAACGGAGGACACGGAAAGACAGAAGAUGUUCAUGGUUCAG